UUGACCUCGGAUCAGGUAGGAAUCGGAUCAGGU
rnacentral:rRNA from 1 species